rnacentral:sRNA from 1 species
GCUGGGUGCGGAGGCGCAUGCCUGUAAUCCCAGUGCUUCAGAAGGCUGAGACAGGAGCAUUGUGUGUUCAAAGCCAGCCUCGGCAAUGGCGAGGUGCUAAGCAACAAAGUGAGACCCUGUCUCUA